rnacentral:rRNA from 1 species
GACGAACGCUGGCGGCGUGCUUAACACAUGCAAGUCGAACGGAAAGGCCCUGCUUUUGUGGGGUGCUCGAGUGGCGAACGGGUGAGUAACACGUGAGUAACCUGCCCUUGACUUUGGGAUAACUUCAGGAAACUGGGGCUAAUACCGGAUAGGAGCUCCUGCUGCAUGGUGGGGGUUGGAAAGUUUCGGCGGUUGGGGAUGGACUCGCGGCUUAUCAGCUUGUUGGUGGGGUAGUGGCUUACCAAGGCUUUGACGGGUAGCCGGCCUGAGAGGGUGACCGGCCACAUUGGGACUGAGAUACGGCCCAGACUCCUACGGGAGGCAGCAGUGGGGAAUAUUGCACAAUGGGCGGAAGCCUGAUGCAGCAACGCCGCGUGCGGGAUGACGGCCUUCGGGUUGUAAACCGCUUUCGCCUGUGACGAAGCGUGAGUGACGGUAACGGGUAAAGAGGCACCGGCUAACUACGUG